rnacentral:tRNA from 1 species
GGCGGAAUGGCAGAAUGGCUAUGCAGCGGAUUGCAAAUCCGUGUAUCUCGGUUCGACUCCGGGCUCCGCCUCCA